UAAUGGAAGAUGAAGGGAGGAAAAGCAAGUAAAAGACAUGCUAUGCAUAGCCACCACAUGCCAUGGGCACCGUUGUCCCCCUGCACAAAGGAGGAGCAUCUCAGCAAGCUUGGCCUGGGCCGUGGAAGGGAUCAUACAAACAUCUGGACCAACGCGACAGGAGUUAGUUCUGCAGGAAUGUCCCAGAGCAUUUUGGUUUCAGCUGUCGCAAUGCUUUGAUCCCCUGCUGCUGGGCUGGGGCGUUUGAGGAAUGAUGCGUGUGCUGAUGUCCAUCCAGGCUUUGGGGAUGAGUCUGCGUAGCAGGGAGGGCAGGUGGUGAAGCUCAUGAAGCAAUGCCUGCAGAUGGGGUUUGCAGAGCAAGAGGUCCGUCCUGCAGGCCUUGUGUGACACGCAUGGAGCUGUAGCGAGGCUGCAUCAGUGUAAAACAGCAGAAAUGCACGGAGGUGUGAAGGUGAGCGGUGGGCUCCAGUAGUGCAGGAGGGGAUGUGCGUGCUCAGGGUUUGGCUGCUUCUGUGUGUGUGUUUUAUGUGAGUGUGAUGCCAUUGCUUGGUCCGUUUGAGUGUAUGGAACAAGUGUGCCAUCCUUUGUGCUGGAGUCGUGUGCAAGGAGUCCUAUGGCUUUGAGAGCUGACUUGAAGCCUGUGGGCAUCACGGAGGAAUAGGGGUAGGGGAUGAGGGGAGGGAAGUUGGGGUAAGAGGAAGAGGCGUAGGGACAGGAACCUCUUUGGCCGAUAUGAUGUCCUGCCGUUCUCUUUUUGGAUUAGGAAUCUCUGUGUGUUUUUUAGUGAAGAACAAACUCUGUGUUCAGUUGUGAAUGAAUGAAUUCAGGCCUGCUAGUUGGUGUUCUUCUCUACACGGAGCCGCAAUUGAAAUGGACGCUCCUGGUGUGAUGUGCGGCCCCGCCCCGUGUUCUCAGAUCCGCCAAGUUGGCAAGGCCUGGCUCUUGGUUGGUGAGCUGUGCCCAGGGUGAGAGACUUGACUCUUGUGGGCUUUGAGACAUGUCUUCGAGUUGCACGUUGUGUUAUUUCUGUUGGGUUGACCUCUUGAGCUCCAGCCCUAAGUGAGGAUCCAAGCAGUAGCGCAGAAGGAAUGGUUUAGACUGGAAGUGCAAUGCCAAGGGCUGGAGCCAGCCGGAGCAGGGAAGUGAUCAUCUCCCCGUACUCAGCACUGGUGAGUCCUCACCUUGAGUAGUGUGUUUGGUUCUGGGCCCCUCACUACAAGGGGGCCCCUGAAAGCCUGAAGUGUGUCCAGAGAAGAGCAAUGAAGCUGUGAGGGUUGUAGAGCACAAGUCUGAUGGGGAGCGGCUGAGGGAAGUGGGAUUCGUUAGUGUGGAGAAGAGGAGGCUGAGGGAAGACCACCUCACUCUGUCCAAUUACGUGACGAGUGGUUAUGUGGAGGUGGGGGUGGUCCUCUUCUCGCAUGGAACUAGUGCUAGAACUAGAGGGAAUGGCCUCAAGUUACAUGAGGGGAGAUUGAGGUUGGAUGUGAAGAAAAGCUUCUCCCAGUGAGCGGUCAGACGCUGC